rnacentral:tRNA from 1 species
GGGGAUAUAGCUCAGUGGUACAGCACCUGCCUGGUAAGCACAAGGUUCUAAAUUUUAUCCCCA